ensembl:lncRNA
CCGAAACACGCGCACCUGCGUGAUGACGUCAGGAAGCCAAACGACGCAAAAAAAAAAUGACCGCGAAACUUCGACGAGCGAUUCCUCACAAACUAGAUAGUUUCUAGUCAAAGUGCGACCGAAAAGUGUGCGUGUUUCGCCAAAGUGAAUCCCAACAACGUGAGACGUAAAUGCCUCGAUGGAGCUGGACCGGUGGAUCCGGAGCCUUCAGGUUUCCUCCUGCAGAAUACAGCGACUGGGACCAUUCUGCGCCCCUCCUGCUGGAAGGAAACAAACAAGAAAACGCACCAGAAAUGAGGAGCAACUUUGGGUGGGAUGUCACACGAGGAUGUUUCUAGAUCCAGCUCUCUCUCUGCUGCGGUUUCCGUUUCUCUGGAAGCACCUGCGUCUCGUUCCCACCUGCCUCCUCA